UACGGGGGGAGCAAGCGUUGUUCGGAUUUACUGGGCGUAAAGGGCGCGUAGGCGGCCAGCACAAGUCAGUUGUGAAAUCUCCGAGCUUAACUCGGAACGGUCAACUGAUACUGUGCGGCUAGAGUGCAGAAGGGGCAACUGGAAUUCUUGGUGUAGCGGUGAAAUGCGUAGAUAUCAAGAGGGAACACCCUGCGGCGAAGGCGGGUUGCUGGGGCUGACACUGACGCUGAGGCGCGAAAGCUAGGGGGAGCGAACGGGG
rnacentral:rRNA from 1 species